rnacentral:rRNA from 1 species
CCCUUUGGGUGUGACUGCGUACCUUUUGUAUAAUGGGUCAGCGACUUAUAUUCUGUAGCAAGGUUAACCGAAUAGGGGAGCCGGAGGGAAACCGAGUCUUAACCGGGCGUUAAGUUGCAGGGUAUAGACCCGAAACCCGGUGAUCUAGCCAUGGGCAGGUUGAAGGUUGGGUAACACUAACUGGAGGACCGAACCGACUAAUGUUGAAAAAUUAGCGGAUGACCUGUGGCUGGGGGUGAAAGGCCAAUCAAACCGGGAGAUAGCUGGUUCUCCCCGAAAGCUAUUUAGGUAGCGCCUCGUGAAUUCAUCUCCGGGGGUAGAGCACUGUUUCGGCUAGGGGGCCAUCCCGGCUUACCAACCCGAUGCAAACUGCGAAUACCGGAGAAUGUUAUCACGGGAGACACACGGCGGGUGCUAACGUCCGUCGUGAAGAGGGAAACAACCCAGACCGCCAGCUAAGGUCCCAAAGUCAUGGUUAAGUGGGAAACGAUGUGGGAAGGCCCAGACAGCCAGGAUGUUGGCUUAGAAGCAGCCAUCAUUUAAAGAAAGCGUAAUAGCUCACUGGUCGAGUCGGCCUGCGCGGAAGAUGUAACGGGGCUAAACCAUGCACCGAAGCUGCGGCAGCGACACUGUGUGUUGUUGGGUAGGGGAGCGUUCUGUAAG